rnacentral:rRNA from 1 species
UGAGAGCGGGCCUUUUACCUGAGAGAUUUCAGGUAUUGACCAGUCCUGAAAAUAACCGCCCGUGAUUAUUGGCUCAAGGGAGUGGCUUAUUCCUGAGGCCCCCAGAGUAGAUUGGAAUGCCCUUGGGUCCCUAAGUGCAGGCACAGCCGGUAUCGGAGUCAAGCUUAUCGAAUACUGGGGUAAGCGCGCGUAGGUGUUUUAGUGGAUUGAAAGCCUGGCCCCUAGGACUGCUUCCAAACUAGAUGACUAGAGUACGAAGAGGAGUAGAUCACAGGUUAGCGGUGGAAUGCGUAGAUAUUGGGAAGAAUACCAAUGGCGAAGGCAGCUUCCUGGUCUGUACUGACACUGAGGUGCGAAAGCGUGGGUAGCGAACAGGAUUAGAUACCCUGGUAGUCACGCCGUAAACGAUGACAACUAGCUGUUGGGAGACAAGAUCUCUCAGUGGCGCAGCUAACGCUUAAGUGUCCGCCUGGGGAGUACGGCCGCAAGGUUAAAACUCAAAUGAAUUGACGGGGACCCGCACAAGCGGUGGAGCAUGUGGUUUAAUUCGAUGCAACGCGAAAAACCUUACCUACUCUUGACAUACUUGGAAGCUCUUGUAAUGAGAGUGUGCUUUUAGAGCCAAGAUACAGGUGCUGCAUGGCUGUCGUCAGCUCGUGUCGUGAGAUGUUGGGUUAAGUCCCAUAACGAGCGCAACCCUUACCCUUAUUUGCCAGCGGUUCGGCCGGGAACUAUAAGGGGACUGCCGGUGACAAACCGGAGGAAGGUGAGGACGACGUCAAGUCAUCAUGGCCCUUACGAGUAGGGCUACACACGUGCUACAAUGGGGAAUACAGACGGACGCUAAAGCGUGAGCUGGUGCUAAUCCUAAAAAAUUUCUCGUAGUCCGGAUUGCAGUCUGCAACUCGACUGCAUGAAGUCGGAAUCGCUAGUAAUCGCGAAUCAGCAUGUCGCGGUGAAUACGUUCUCGGGUCUUGUACACACCGCCCGUCACACCAUGGAAGUGUGUUGCACCAGAAGUAGGUAGUCUAACCUUCGGGAAGGCGCUUACCACGGUGUGGUCCAUGACUGGGGUGAAGUCGUAACAAGGUAACCCGGGCGACCGCUCGAGCCAAGGGC